UAUGAUUGCUGUUUCCAGGUAGAUGAAUAACAAUUAUGUAGAAGAGGAAUAGAUUUUUUUUUCUGCUUUAUCCCACGAGGAAGAACUAGAAAUAAUAGAUGGAAGAUGAAGGAAGCUAAAGAAUAUCAUGAAACUGCUGACCAUCCACACCAAGGAAAUCAUGUUUCUAUCAAUGUAUGGGAGAAAGGGCAAAAGUUCUGCUCUUGGAGGCCAAGAAGAAUUAGUUUAAUUCAUUUUUCCAGAGAACAGUUCUUGAAAUACUGAAGAAUAACUGAGUCACUGAGUCUUCUUACCUUCAAUCUAAGUAUGCCAAGUUCCUUCAUCACAUUCUCAUGUGGCAUAAUCAUGAGGCUCUUCACCACUCUAGUCAUCUUCUAUCUCUCCAAUUUAUCAGUGUCCUUUUAAGGUAUCCUAGACAUAAUCUGAUGAAAUUAAAUUACCACAAUAUUAUGAUUUCCUUACUCCUGAACCAUAUAGCUC
rnacentral:lncRNA from 1 species